AACGAACGCUGGCGGCAUGCCUAACACAUGCAAGUCGAACGAGACCUUCGGGUCUAGUGGCGCACGGGUGCGUAACGCGUGGGAAUCUACCCUCAGGUUCGGAAUAACUCAGAGAAAUUUGAGCUAAUACCGGAUGAUGACGUAAGUCCAAAGAUUUAUCGCCUGAGGAUGAGCCCGCUUAGGAUUAGGUAGUUGGUGAGGUAAAGGCUCACCAAGCCGACGAUCCUUAGCUGGUCUGAGAGGAUGAUCAGCCACACUGGGACUGAGACACGGCCCAGACUCCUACGGGAGGCAGCAGUGGGGAAUAUUGGACAAUGGGCGAAAGCCUGAUCCAGCAAUGCCGCGUGAGUGAUGAAGGCCUGAGGGUUGUAAAGCUCUUUUACCCGGGAUGAUAAUGACAGUACCGGGAGAAUAAGCUCCGGCUAACUCCGUG
rnacentral:rRNA from 1 species